rnacentral:rRNA from 1 species
GAUGAACGCUGGCGGCGUGCUUAACACAUGCAAGUCGAACGGGAGAUGCACAGGGAUGAGAUUUCGGUCAAAUCCGGUGUAUCUUUAGUGGCGGACGGGUGAGUAACGCGUGGGUAACCUGCCAUAUACUGGGGGAUAACACUUAGAAAUAGGUGCUAAUACCGCAUAAGCGCACGGAGGCGCAUGCCUUAGUGUGAAAAACUCCGGUGGUAUAUGAUGGACCCGCGUCUGAUUAGCUUGUUGGCGGGGUAACGGCCCACCAAGGCGACGAUCAGUAGCCGGCCUGAGAGGGUGGACGGCCACAUUGGGACUGAGACACGGCCCAA